rnacentral:sRNA from 1 species
GAAAAUCUGAGUUUUACUUGGCUUAGGGUUACUGCUACUUGAGUUAAUUGUAUAACUCAGCAGCCUAUUCAUCUGAUUUUGGAAGAGCCUCCCAUGAGCAGAAUAGGCAUGGUUUUCCAUUUCAAGGGAAAAAAGGAAAAAUGAAAGACAAAAUAACUUAGAAAAGGCUUAUGGUCAGGCCACUUAGAUCCAGACUUAUAUUUGAGUAGACAGAGCUUUGGGUUUGCCAAACUGGAAAUGACAGUUUCGCUCUCUUUUUUUUUUUUUCCUUUUUUGCACCCCUCUUUCCCAACUUCUGUACCUCAGUGGCAAAUCACCUCUUUCUUGUGCUUAUCGCUAAUUCUGCAAUGUUGUCUGUGUGUUUUAAUAGGAAUGGUCGUUGGAGAUCAGAGUGGAAGUUCACCAUCACACCACCUACAGCCCAGGUGGUUGGAGUGCUUAAGAUUCAGGUUCAUUAUUAUGAAGAUGGCAACGUUCAGUUGGUUAGUCAUAAAGAUGUACAGGAUUCACUAACUGUUUCGAAUGAAGCCCAAACUGCCAAGGAGUUUAUUAAAAUCAUAGAGAAUGCAGAAAACGAGUAUCAGACAGCAAUUAGUGAAAACUAUCAAACAAUGUCAGAUACCACAUUCAAGGCCUUGCGCCGGCAGCUUCCAGUUACCCGCACCAAAAUCGACUGGAACAAGAUACUCAGCUACAAGAUUGGCAAAGAAAUGCAGAAUGCUUAAAGGCUGAAUGUAGGAUUCUUCAGUAUGUGGAAAGACAA